rnacentral:rRNA from 1 species
CACGGGGAGGUAGUGACGAAAAAUAACGAUACGGGACUCAUCCGAGGCCCCGUAAUCGGAAUGAGUACACUUUAAAACUUUUCCCGAGGAUCAAUUGGAGGGUAAGUCUGGUGCCAGCAGCCGCGGUAAUUCCAGCUCCAAUAGCGUAUAUUAAAGUUGUUGCGGUUAAAAAGCUCGUAGUCGAAUCUGUGUCCCGCGCCGCUGGUUCAUCGCUCGCGGUGUUUAACUGGCGUGUCUCGCGGGACGUCCUGCCGGUGGGCGCUCGUAUCGUUUCGGCGGUGCGUGGCCCAACUCGUAGCCGUCUCGCGCGGUUGCGAAUCCCAUCGCGGUGCUCUUUAUUGAGUGUCGAGGUGGGCCGGCACGUUUACUUUGAACAAAUUAGAGUGCUUAAAGCAGGCCAAUUUUGCCUGAAUAUUGUGUGCAUGGAAUAAUGGAAUAGGACCUCGGUUCUAUUUUGUUGGUUUUCGGAACCCCGAGGUAAUGAUUAAUAGGAACGGAUGGGGGCAUUCGUAUUGCGACGUUAGAGGUGAAAUUCUUGGAUCGUCGCAAGACGGACAGAAGCGAAAGCAUUUGCCAAAAACGCUUUCAUUGAUCAAGAACGAAAGUUAGAGGUUCGAAGGCGAUCAGAUACCGCCCUAGUUCUAACCAUAAACGAUGCCAGCUAGCGAUCCGCCGACGUUCCUCCGAUGACUCGGCGGGCAGCUUCCGGGAAACCAAAGCUUUUGGGUUCCGGGGGAAGUAUGGUUGCAAAGCUGAAACUUAAAGGAAUUGACGGAAGGGCACCACCAGGAGUGGAGCCUGCGGCUUAAUUUGACUCAACACGGGACACCUCACCAGGCCC